GCCCGGGUGGCGAAACCGGUAGACGCAGCGGACUUAAAAUCCGCGGCCUUUCACGAGGCAUACGGGUUCGAGUCCCGUCCUGGGCACCA
rnacentral:tRNA from 1 species